UGAGGAAUAUUGGUCAAUGGACGAAAGUCUGAACCAGCCAAGUAGCGUGCAGGAUGACGGCCCUCCGGGUUGUAAACUGCUUUUAGUUGGGAAUAAAAAAAGGGACGUGUCCCUUAUUGUAUGUACCUUCAGAAAAAGGACCGGCUAAUUCCGUGCCAGCAGCCGCGGUAAUACGGAAGGUCCAGGCGUUAUCCGGAUUUAUUGGGUUUAAAGGGAGCGUAGGCGGAUUGUUAAGUCAGCGGUUAAAGGGUGUGGCUCAACCAUACAUUGCCGUUGAAACUGGCGAUCUUGAGUGCAGACAGGGAUGCCGGAAUUCGUGGUGUAGCGGUGAAAUGCUUAGAUAUCACGAAGAACUCCGAUCGCGAAGGCAGGUGUCCGGGCUGCAACUGACGCUGAGGCUCGAAAGUGUGGGUAUCAAACAGGAUUAGAUACCCUGGUAGUCCACACAGUANCGAUGUAUACUCGCGGUUUGCGAUAGACAGUAAGCCGCCAAGCGAAAGCAUUAAGUAUACCACCUGGGGAGUACGCCGGCACGG
rnacentral:rRNA from 1 species